CCUGCAGCAGAAUCACCUGGCGAGGAGGUGCCUGUUGAAAAAGAUAAGAAGUUUCAUUCAGAAAAGAUGACCCUGAAAUCCUGGAGCUUUUGCCCAAAAGGCUCUGAAACAUGCAUCUUGCCUAUGGAGCCCGCAUCCUAGCCUGCCUUACUUGGGCUGCCUUGAUACCAUCCCCCAUCAGUGUGACAAUGAUGAUUCUGGGCACGUACAAGCCUCUUUCCCAGGAAGCUGGAGCACCAAAUGACAGCUGUGUUUGAGGGAUGGCUCCGUUGACAACUGAUUCAGAAUAUUGACAAGACUUCAUUAUGUUUUUGCUCUUGUGUUUACAUCUUUCAAGUGUGUUUGAAAAAUCAAGAAAACAAUACAAUUUGGUUUCCCAAAUUGAAA
rnacentral:lncRNA from 1 species